GCAUAGAUAGCUCAGUUUGUAGAGCGCGCGCUAAGCAUGCGCGAGGUCUCGAGAUCGAUGAGAUCGAUUCUUGAUGCC